AUUGAACGCUGGCGGCAUGCUUUACACAUGCAAGUCGAACGGCAGCACGAAAGAGCUUGCUCUUUUGGUGGCGAGUGGCGAACGGGUGAGUAAUGCAUCGGAACGUACCGAGUAAUGGGGGAUAACUGUCCGAAAGGAUAGCUAAUACCGCAUACGCUUUGAGAAGGAAAGUGGGGGCUCUUCGGACCUCACGUUAUUCGAGCGGCCGAUGUCUGAUUAGCUAGUUGGUGGGGUAAAGGCCUACCAAGGCGACGAUCAGUAGCGGGUCUGAGAGGAUGAUCAGCCACACUGGGACUGAGACACGGCCCAGACUCCUACGGGAGGCAGCAGUGGGGAAUUUUGGACAAUGGGCGCAAGCCUGAUCCAGCCAUGCCGCGUGUCUGAAGAAGGCCUUCGGGUUGUAAAGGGCUUUUGUUAGGGAAGAAAAGGAUAGUGUUAAUACCAUGAUCUGCUGACGGUACCUAAAGAAUAAGCACCGGCUAACUACGUG
rnacentral:rRNA from 1 species